GCCCCCCUCGCUUCUCUCGGAGCAGCCUGAUGCCCCUCCCCCUGGCAGAGCCAGUACGUCUUCCUGCACAGCUGCCUACUGAACAAGAUUCUGGAAGCGCCCUCCAACAUCUCUGAGUAAGUCCCAGCUUCCCUGUGCCUCCCACAGGCAGGCUCCCUGCUCCUGUUCGUGGGCAGAGCCGAGCAGACUAGAAUGGGGAGCUGGGGAACCUUGAGUGCCUUCUCCCUCUUCAACCCCUCAACGAGGUCCUGGCCCAUCUCUGUGAUGAAAUUCAUGCAGGCUUGUGCCAAGAGGGCAGCCAAUGCCAACGCUGGCUUCUUGAAGAAGUACGAGCUCCUGCUGCAAGCCAUCAAGGACGAGGCUGGCUCUUCCGCGCCCUCCUGGCUAUGAGCAGGACAGCCCCAUCUCCUAUGACUGUUCUCAGGGACAGUUUUCUCCGGUGGAGGAGAGCCCCCCCGACGACAUGCCCGAAGCCUGGCUCUUCCCUGUGACAUGAUGCUGCUUUUGCCACUGUUUCCUGCCCUCUCUGACCACCUGUACUUCCCAGGCUGGGGCUGCUGGGGGCUCCCAGAGUUGUGGGCUGGACAGGGGACACCCUCAGUCUCUGGAAGCCCAUGAACUGUGCUCUGCAGCAUGGGCCCUCUGGCCGUGACCAUGUGGUGCUGACUGGCCCCGCAGGGCCAGAGGAGCUCUGGAAGCUGGUGUGGCAGCACGGGGCUCAUGUGCUUGUCUCUGGGUGCCCACCCGAUGCCACGGAGAAGGUGACAGAGCAGAGGACAGAGGAAGGGAGGCUCAGGAGUUAGGGCUGAGGAUGGAGGCGGGGAGUUUGCGAUGCUGUCUGUCACCAAGGCAGGGGCAGAGAUCUCAGGAAGCUGCCUGAGCUUGGUCCCAGCCACAGGAGUUCUGGCCAAUGGAGAUGCAGCCCAUUGUCACAGACAUGGUGACAGUGCACUGGGUGGCCGAGAGCAGCACAGCAGGCUGGCUCUGUACCCUCUUCAGGGUUACACAUGACAGCAGGAAGGAAAGGGAGGUGCAGAGGCUGCAGUUUCCAUACCUGGAACCUGGGCGUGAGCUGCCUGCCACCAACCUGCUGCCCUUCUUGGCUGCUGUGGGCCCGUGCUGCUCUCGGGGCAACAGCAAGAAGCCGGGCACACCGCUCAGCCGCUCCAGGUGGUGUUGGACAACGGUCUUGGGGGAGUGGACACUGGAAGCUCCUCCCUGCCCCUCUGGCAUAGCCUCAGAUCUCCCUGAGCCCUGCUUGGGUUGUGGGUGGAAAGGACACAGUCUCACAAUGGCCCCCUGUCUUCUCCACACCCCACCCUGUCCUCAGGAAUAUGGUGGGAAUUUACCGCCUCCCUCCCUGGGCCCAGGCUGGCUGACCAAGUGUUCAGUGUCCCUUCUCAGUCCCUGUGCCCAGGUUGGGUUUCCCCACAUCCCCAUACACCCCCGCCAUAUCCCCUUUAGGUACCUCAUCCAACUCUAG
rnacentral:lncRNA from 1 species